rnacentral:lncRNA from 1 species
GCCAGACCAGUGGGGCCACAGGAAGAACAUCCAGCGUUGGCAAGAUGUGUUUGUUCUCAAUUACCUAGUUAAGCUAAGUUAACCAAACCUGUCAAGGGGGAGUACUGAUAAGAAGCUUAGCUCAUGGACAGACAGGAAAGAGGAAGAUGGACGGACGGC